rnacentral:RNase_P_RNA from 1 species
AAAGUCAGUCGGACAGUCGCGCUUAUAAUGAGUGAGGAAAGUCCGGGAUUUACAGAGCAAGAUGCCAGAUAACGUCUGGGAGGCGUGAGCCUACGGAAAGUGCAACAUAAAAUAUACCGCCUUAUUUUUUAAGGUAAGGGUGAAAAGGUGUGGUAAGAGAGCACCGCAUUGGUGGUAACACUCAAUGGCAUUGUAAACCCCAUCUAAAGCAAGACCAAAUAGUGCCAC